AGUCAAGUGAAUAAGUGCAUCAGGUGGAUGCCUUGGCGAUGAUAGGCGAAGAAGGACGUGUAAGCCUGCGAAAAGCACGGAGAAGCUGGCAAAAAAGCAAUGAUACCGUGAUGUCCGAAUGGGGAAACCCACUGCACUCGUGCAGUAUCCUAGUCUGAAUACAUAGGGCUAGAGAAGCGAACCUGGAGAACUGAACCAUCUAAGUACCCAGAGGAAAAGAAAUCAACCGAGAUUCCGCAAGUAGUGGCGAGCGAACGCGGAAAAGCCUGUAUAUGAUAAUGGUUAAGAUAGAAGAAGGGAUUGGAAACUUCCGCCAUAGUGGGUGAUAGCCCCGUAUUUGAAAUCUUAACCAUGGUACUAAGUAUACGAGAAGUAGGGCGGGACACGUGAAAUCCUGUCUGAAUAUGGGGGGACCAUCCUCCAAGGCUAAAUACUCAUCAUCGACCGAUAGUGAACCAGUACCGUGAGGGAAAGGCGAAAAGAACCCCGGAAGGGGAGUGAAAUAGAACCUGAAACCUGAUGCAUACAUACAGUGGGAGCAUCUUUGUGGUGUGACUGCGUACCUUUUGUAUAAUGGGUCAACGACUUACAUUCAGUAGCGAGCUUAACCGAGUAGGGGAGGCGUAGGGAAACCGAGUCUUAAUAGGGCGACUAGUUGCUGGGUGUAGACCCGAAACCGAGUGAUCUAUCC
rnacentral:rRNA from 1 species